CCCUUAGAUGUUCUGGGCCGCACGCGCGCUACACUGAAGGGAUCAGCGUGUUUUCCCUUCCCGAGAGGGACGGGUAACCCGCUGAACCCCCUUCGUGGUAGGGAUCGGAGCUUGCAAUUGUUCUCCGUGAACCAGGAAUUCCCAGUAAGCGCAAGUCAUAAGCUUGCGUUGAUUACGUCCCUGCCCUUUGUACACACCGCCCGUCGCUACUACCGAUUGAACGUUUUAGUGAGGUAUUUGGACUGGGCCUUGGGAGGUUUCGGCCUCCCUUGUUGCUCGGAAAGACUCCCAAACUUGAGCGUUUAGAGGAAGUAAAAGGCGUAACA
rnacentral:rRNA from 1 species